rnacentral:lncRNA from 1 species
CCCGAGUGCCGCGCCCCUUCCAGCGUGCCCUCUGACCACGCCCACCGCACAACCGCGGCCAACGUACGAUGUGAUUGGAUAAGCGCGCCCAGACUCAGCAGUCCCGCUAUGGAAACACCAGAAGCACGUGUCGCCCGCUGCUGUCUCUAAGAGCCGAGCACGCUGCUCAUUUAUUGCUCGUGUCAAGCGGCCACUGUGGUGAAGGGAGACAAACUGCCUUUCUUGCGGUCACGUCUCCCAUGCGAAAGAACAUUUCUUGGCAUAGUCACCCAGACGUACGUAACUGUAGCGUAAUAACGGAGUCAAUAAUAGCGCAGCGAGCUCGGGUUUGGGCUCCGAUGGAUUGGGGGGGGGGGGGGGGGGUGUCGUGAAGAAGCUGUCCAUUAGGACGUUUAUUAGAACAUCAGCACACAGCAAGAUGUAUCAGCGAAUACAGAAGGAAAAACUGCACUCUGUUCAAUUUUUUUUUUUUUUUUUUUUUAAACAGAUCAGAAUGGAUUUGCAAAACACUAAAACUGUCUGCUCCCGCAGCCUGUCCAACAGCACAGGGUCACGGGGAAGCGGAGCCUGCCCGGCAACACAGAGCGUAAGGCCAGAGGGGGAGGGGACACACCCAGGACGGGACAUCAGUCCGUCGCAAGGCACCCCAAGCGGGACUCAAACCCCAGACCCACCGGAGAGGAGGACUGUGGUCCAACCCACUGCGCCACCGCACCCCCCAGCUUCAGAUAUUUUUGUUUAUUUGAUACUUACCAAGACAUGACAUUCCACUGCUGUGGUAUUUUCCCCAUUGGCAGCGUGUGUCUGAAUUGUUAACCGGUGCCAAGCAGAGCUCUCAGUUCCAGGGCUGUUCUGAGGCCCUUUGUGAAUUUUACAGUCUUCAGAGCCAACUCCACUUCAAGAGAUUAAUUGCAAAAUAAUAUUGCUGUCAUAAAAAAAUACAGAUCGAGUGUUUUCAUCAGUGCGUUGUGGCAAUGAAGUGUUGCAAAUAUAUUGCAGACAAGUUGAAAAAAAUUAACUAGUAACUGAACCAAUUAAGCGAGGGGAAUGCAUAGGAAUAACAGCUAAGAUGUACAACUGUCAAACAUCUUCUCUAAGUACUGUUGUCAAGAAGCUUUCCUCCCCAUGGUCAAAAUACAUGUUUUACUGAUGUUUCGCUUCACAUUGGAUAAACAUUUUCCACCCCAGGACUCUAGAAGAGCCCCAAGCAAAACAAAUGCUCG